rnacentral:tRNA from 1 species
CCUCUCCUUUUUAUCCUUUUUUUGUUCCCGGUCCAAAAUUCGUUAUAUUUGGCAUCCGCCCUAUUGACCCCCUAACUAUUUAUCCUAUCCUUUCCAAAUUUGUUAUCUUUAU